UCCGGUUUGGCACCGGCAGUCUCCGACGAGUCCCCGACAUAACUCGCUGGCAACAUCGGACAGGGGUUGCGCUCGUUGCGCCACUUAAGGCAACACCUCACGGCACGAGCUGACGACAGCCAUGCACCACCUGUGCAGGCUCCGAAGAGCACCCGUUUUCACGGGUUUCACCCUGCAUGUCAAGCCCAGGUAAGGUUCUUCGCGUUGCAUCGAAUUAAGCCACAUGCUCCGCCGCUUGUGCGGGUCCCCGUCAAUUCCUUUGAGUUUUAGCCUUGCGGCCGUACUCCCCAGGCGGAGUGCUUAAUGCGUUAGCUGCGGCACAGAGAGGGUUGAAGACCUCCCCACAUCUAGCACUCAACGUUUACGGCUGGGACUAC
rnacentral:misc_RNA from 1 species